CCUCACCCCAACAACAGGUGCUGAAGAUGCAGAAACCUUUCAGCUGGAGGUCAGUGGGUUGCUCAGUGAGCUACACUGUCCCUACCCGUCCCUCACCGCAGGAAGCGCCACCUCCAGGCUGAAUGACAAACAGAGCUGCCUCCAACUGCUGCGCUCCUGUACCUCCUCCCCGAUGGUAGUAACGAGAAGAGGGCAUGUCCCGGAUGGUGAGGGUCCUUAAUGAUGGAAGCUGCCUUCUUGAGGCACCGCCUUAUGAAAAUGUCCUCGAUGGCGGGGAGGGUUGUGCCCGUGAUGGAGCUGGCUGAGUCUACAACCCUCUGCAGCCUCUUUCGAUCCUGCGCAUUGGUGCAGGAAGUGUUGAUUAAACAUUAGAGCCAAUCCUUUAGAGAGUGCUGUCUGUGCUUCCCAUUCUUGGCAAAGGCUGGGGGAACGGUUCAAACUCUUCUGCAAACAG